rnacentral:rRNA from 1 species
UCGAACGAUGAACCACUUCGGUGGGGAUUAGUGGCGAACGGGUGAGUAACACGUGGGCAAUCUGCCCUUCACUCUGGGACAAGCCCUGGAAACGGGGUCUAAUACCGGAUAACACUUCCACUCUCCUGAGUGGAGGUUAAAAGCUCCGGCGGUGAAGGAUGAGCCCGCGGCCUAUCAGCUUGUUGGUGAGGUAAUGGCUCACCAAGGCGACGACGGGUAGCCGGCCUGAGAGGGCGACCGGCCACACUGGGACUGAGACACGGCCCAGACUCCUACGGGAGGCAGCAGUGGGGAAUAUUGCACAAUGGGCGAAAGCCUGAUGCAGCGACGCCGCGUGAGGGAUGACGGCCUUCGGGUUGUAAACCUCUUUCAGCAGGGAAGAAGCGAAAGUGACGGUACCUGCAGAAGAAGCGCCGGCUAACUACGUGCCAGCAGCCGCGGUAAUACGUAGGGCGCGAGCGUUGUCCGGAAUUAUUGGGCGUAAAGAGCUCGUAGGCGGCUUGUCACGUCGGUUGUGAAAGCCCGGGGCUUAACCCCGGGUCUGCAGUCGAUACGGGCAGGCUAGAGUUCGGUAGGGGAGAUCGGAAUUCCUGGUGUAGCGGUGAAAUGCGCAGAUAUCAGGAGGAACACCGGUGGCGAAGGCGGAUCUCUGGGCCGAUACUGACGCUGAGGAGCGAAAGCGUGGGGAGCGAACAGGAUUAGAUACCCUGGUAGUCCACGCCGUAACGGUGGGACUAGGUGUUGGCGACAUUCCACGUCGUCGGUGCCGCAGCUAACGCAUUAAGUUCCCGCCUGGGGAGUACGGCCGCAAGGCUAAACUCAAGGAUUGACGGGGGCCGCACAACAGCGAGCAUGUGGCUUAUUCGACGCACGCGAAGAACUUACCAGGUUGACAUACACGGAAACAUUAAG